AAAGGAGAUGCGUGUACGAUUAUUCACAGAAGCAUUGUUUAGCAUCAUUUAUGAGAGUGAAGAAGUCGAAGCAACUUAAAUAUCUAUCAGCAAAAAUAAUGGAAAACAGAAUUUAGUGUGGAUGUACGAGAGGCUGUCACAGAGGAGCGCUGUGUGUGCACAUUCACUCACUGGGCAACACGAAUGGACCGGGUCCCUGAGCGGAAGCCCAGCUGGGACCCCCGGGGCCAGAGGUGGCCCCGGAAGCAGGUCAUCAGAAGGGGCCCCUGGACUGACUCCCAUAUGGUCGAUCGCUGGGAUGCACACGGGGAAGCAGGAGGCUCUGCGGCAUCCAGACAGCACGUGAUGACGACUUCAACUGGGGAGGCGGCUGUGGAGACAGAAUAAUUUACUAGACAAGCAGAGACGGCUUUUGGGGCGAGAAGUGGCAGAAACUGAUGGUGGAGCAGAGGUGAGGCAGCUGGACUGAAUGAAUCAUCACAGGAAAACCAGCAGACGUACCUUUGAAAGGAGAGAAGGACGCAGAGUAGGAGGCCACUGAAAAGUCAGCAUGUGAACCGAGAAAUGAGAGAAGAUGGUUUGCAGCCCCCUAAGCAGAGUGGACCUGCCCAGCGCCGGCAAGGUGGCCCAGUAGGCGGCCGGACAUCCCCUGUGCAGCCACCACUUCAGUUAGACCCUCGAACCUGGCAGGGGGAAGAUACCAAGCUCAGCGCUCACAUCUCAUUUGAAUGCUUAUUUUUUAACCAAGUGAACCUAUUUCUUCCAUUUUCCCAUCAACUGGUCUAACAAGAGAGGAAAAUGAGAAGGACUUGCACAAUUUAAAGCAAAA
rnacentral:lncRNA from 1 species